GUGCUCACUUUGGCAGCACAUAUACUAAAACUGGAAGGCUACAGAGAAGAUUAGCAUGGGCCCUGCACAAGGAUGACACGCAAAUUUGUGAAGUGUUCCAUAUUUUU
rnacentral:snRNA from 1 species